UGCCAGCCGCCGCGGUAAUACGGAGGGUGCGAGCGUUAAUCGGAAUUACUGGGCGUAAAGAGCACGUAGGUGGUUUGGUAAGUCGGAUGUGAAAUCCCUGGGCUCAACCUGGGAAUUGCAUUCGAAACUGCCUCACUAGGGUCUAGCAGAGGGAUGGGGAAUUCCGGGUGUAGCGGUGAAAUGCGUAGAGAUCCGGAGGAACAUCAGUGGCGAAGGCGCCAUCCUGGGCCAAUACUGACGCUGAGGCGCGAAAGCGUGGGUAGCAAACAGGAUUAGAUA
rnacentral:rRNA from 1 species